AACCUGGUUGAUCCUGCCAGUAGUCAUAUGCUUGUCUCAAAGAUUAAGCCAUGCAUGUGUAAGCACACACUGUUUUAAAAGUGAAGCCGCGAACGGCUCAUUACAACAGCCACAGUUUAUUAGAACUUACAAUCAUGGAUAACUGUGGUAAUUCUAGAGCUAAUACAUGCACAAAAACUUCAACUGAAUUGGUUGAAGUGCUUUUAUUAGAACAAAAACCGAACGGCGUUUGACGAAUGUUGAACGUCGAAACUGUUUGGUGAAUCUGAAUAACUAUUUCUGAUCGCAUGGUCUAGCACCGGCGACAUCACUUUCAAGUGUCUGCCUUAUCAACCUUCGAUGGUAGUCUAUGCGACUACCAUGGUGAUAACGGGUAACGGAGAAUCAGGGUCCGACUCCGGAGAGGGAGCCUGAGAAACGGCUACCACAUCCAAGGAAGGCAGCAGGCGCGCAAAUUACCCACUCCCAGCUUGGGGAGGUAGUGACGAAAAAUAACGAGACGAUUCUCGUUUGAGAAACGUUAUCGAAAUGAGUACGCUUUACACACGCUAACGAGUAGCAAUUGGAGGGCAAGUCUGGUGCCAGCAGCCGCGGUAAUUCCAGCUCCAAUAGCGUAUAUUAAAGUUGCUGCGGUUAAAACGCUCGUAGUUGAAUUGUGGUCUUAGACAACAGUCCCCCUACAAAGGUGUGGCACGGUUGCUCGAGAUCUUCAUUCGUGGUUGCUGUUGUUGCUCUUCAUUGAGUGUCAAUGGUGCCUCGAGAUUUUACUUUGAAAAAAUUAGAGUGCUCAAAGCAGGUUGUGAUGCCUGAAUAAUGGUGCAUGGAAUAAUAGAAUACGAUCUCGGUUCUAUUUUGUUGGUUUUCGAACCGGAGAUAAUGAUUGAAAGGAACAGACGGGGGCAUUCGUAUUGCUGCGUUAGAGGUGAAAUUCUUGGAUCGCAGCAAGAUGAACAAUUGCGAAAGCAUUUGCCAAGAAUGUUUUCAUUAAUCAAGAACGAAAGUUAGAGGUUCGAAGGCGAUCAGAUACCGCCCUAGUUCUAACGGUAAACUAUGCCAACCAGCGAUUCGCCGAAGUUCAUUUAAGACUCGGCGAGCAGCUUCCGGGAAACCAAAGUGUUUCGGCUCCGGGGGAAGUAUGGUUGCAAAGCUGAAACUUAAAGGAAUUGACGGAAGGGCACCACCAGGAGUGGAGCCUGCGGCUUAAUUUGACUCAACACGGGAAAACUCACCCGGCCCGGACACUGGAAGGAUUGACAGAUUGACAGCUCUUUCUUGAUUCAGUGGGUAGUGGUGCAUGGCCGUUCUUAGUUGGUGGAGCGAUUUGUCUGGUUAAUUCCGAUAACGAACGAGACUCUACCCUAUUAAAUAGUGACAGUAUUGUAUUUUUUGUGCUGAUCACUUCUUAGAGGGACUGGCAAAUUGAAAGCUGCACGAAAAAGAGCAAUAACAGGUCUGUGAUGCCCUUCGAUGUCCGGGGCUGCACGCGCGCUACAAUGAAAGCGUCAACGUGAGUUACGUCCUUACCUGAAAAGGUUUGGCAAUCGAAUGAAACGUUUUCUUGAAUGGAAUAGGGAAUUGCAAUUGUUUCCCUUGAACGAGGAAUUCCCAGUAAGCGUGAGUCAUUAGCUCGCGUUGAUUACGUCCCUGCCCUUUGUACACACCGCCCGUCGCUACUACCGAUUGGAUGAUUUAGUGAGGUGUUUUGACUGGCGCCAGUAGUCGGAUAUGUAUUCGGCUUCGCGCCGGGAAAUUUCCCAAACCAAAUCAUCUAGAGGAAGUAAAAGUCGUAACAAGGUUUCCGUAGGUGAACCUGCGGAAGGAUCAUUA
rnacentral:rRNA from 1 species